GAUGAACGCUAGCGGCAGGCCUAACACAUGCAAGUCGAGGGAGAAGCCCUUCGGGGCAGAAACCGGCGCACGGGUGCGUAACGCGUAUGCAACCUACCUUUCACAGGGGGAUAGCCCGAAGAAAUUUGGAUUAAUACCCCAUAAUAUUAUUGGAUGGCAUCAUUUGAUAAUUAAAAUUACGAUGGUGAAAGAUGGGCAUGCGUCCUAUUAGCUAGUUGGAGUGGUAACGGCACCCCAAGGCUACGAUAGGUAGGGGUCCUGAGAGGGAGAUCCCCCACACUGGUACUGAGACAGGGACCAGACUCCUACGGGAGGCAGCAGUGAGGAAUAUUGGUCAAUGGUCGGAAGACUGAACCAGCCAUGCCGCGUGCAGGAAGAAUGCCUUAUGGGNUGUAAACUGCUUUUAUAUGGGAAGAAUAAGGAGUACGUGUACUUNGANGACGNUNCCA
rnacentral:rRNA from 1 species